GACGAACGCUGGCGGCGUGCUUAGCAUAUGCAAGUCGAGCGGUAAGGCCCUUUCGGGGGUACACGAGCGGCGAACGGGUGAGUAACACGUGGGUGACCUGCCCUUAGCUCUGGGAUAAGCCUGGGAAACUGGGUCUAAUACCGGGUAUGACUCCAUAACGCAUGUUGUGGGGUGGAAAGCCUUGUGCGGCUAGGGAUGGGCCCGCGGCCUAUCAGCUUGUUGGUGGGGUGAUGGCCUACCAAGGCGACGACGGGUAGCCGGCCUGAGAGGGCGACCGGCCACACUGGGACUGAGACACGGCCCAGACUCCUACGGGAGGCAGCAGUGGGGAAUCUUGCGCAAUGGGCGAAAGCCUGACGCAGCGACGCCGCGUGGGGAUGACGGCC
rnacentral:rRNA from 1 species